GUAUCAUCAAAAUACCAAUCAUUUGAAAAAUAAUUUUCCCUGCGCACAGAUAUACUUCUAGUUCAAUAAUGAAAUAUAACAUCAUGUUCUUUGUGCUUGUGAUUAUUUCAUUUAGAGAAUGCCAUUCUUGGUGCAGAGCGGACCAAGUUUCAGAAAAUUCCUUUGGAUGUUUCUAUGAAGGUAACUUCAUACGAAAAGGAGAGACCAUUAGUUUUUUUUCCACAGUGCGUAAAGUGCAGAUGUUCUAAAACAACGCUUUCAUGCUGUUCAAUAGGCAUUGAAAUAACAAGCGUGGGGCCGGAAUGUAAAAUUUUUCAGGAUGGUUGUACCCAACGAGCAGUUUUAAAGUCGGAUAGCAAUAAAGAAUGCUCUUCGGUUAUGGGAGCAAUUGGCAAGUAAACCAGUUGGACCCUGAUUCGUUAUUGGUGGAAGCAUUGUGGUAUUUUGGGAUUAAAGCCAUGUACCAGACCGUAUGACACUUUUAACAUUAUAAAUAUAUAUAAAAAUAUAUAUUAAAGAAGAUAUUGUAUAGUU